rnacentral:tmRNA from 2 species
GGGGGCGUAAAGGUUUCGACGGGGGUUGUGAAGCAGAAAUAGCGGGCAGAGGGCGGGACCUCUAUAAUCCCCGAACUUUUAAAAGUAAACGAGAACGACAGUUACGUUUACGCGGCCUAAUUAGGCCGCCGUCCUGCCCCGGAGCACCACGGCCGGGAACAGGGCGUCGAUUAGUGGUCAAUUUCAGCGAGAAGGCUCCCCGCAUCGCUGAAACAUAAGGGGAUACCGACGCUGUGAGCCUGUUUAUCGGCGCACAGCCGGGGGAAUCUUCAGUAGAUAAACUGAGCUCGGAGAAGUUUCUGUGAAUCGGCUUUCGGACAGGGGUUCAAUUCCCCUCGCCUCCACCA